rnacentral:rRNA from 1 species
UACAGAGGUCUCGAGCGUUGUUCGGAUUCAUUGGGCGUAAAGGGUGCGUAGGUGGCAGGGUAAGUCGGAUGUGAAAUCCCGGAGCUUAACUCCGGAACUGCAUUCGAUACUGCCUUGCUUGAGUACUGGAGAGGAGAUCGGAAUUUACGGUGUAGCAGUGAAAUGCGUAGAUAUCGUAAGGAAGACCAGUGGCGAAGGCGGAUCUCUGGACAGUUACUGACACUGAGGCACGAAGGCCAGGGGAGCAAACGGG